rnacentral:ncRNA from 2 species
AUGUAUAAUAAAGGUUUUGGUUCUUUGGCUUAUACAGCCAAAGGUUAAAAGGGAAUCGGGUGAAAAUCCCGAGCGGACCGGCCACUGUGAAUGGGGAGAACCUUUCGGUAAGACCACUGGAAAUGACUUCUGGGAAGGUGAAAGGAUUUGAUGAUCCAUGAGCCAGGAGACCUGCCAAAACCGUUAAGUAUAG